rnacentral:rRNA from 1 species
UACGUAGGGGGCUAGCGUUGUCCGGAAUCAUUGGGCGUAAAGCGCGUGUAGGCGGCCCGGUAAGUCCGCUGUGAAAGUCGGGGGCUCAACCCUCGGAUGCCGGUGGAUACUGUCGGGCUCGAGUACGGAAGAGGCGAGUGGAAUUCCUGGUGUAGCGGUGAAAUGCGUGAGAUAUCAGGAGGAACACCGGUGGUGUAGACGGCUGCACUGGCCCAUUACUGACGCUGAGGCACGAAAGCGUGGGGAGCGAACAGG